AGACCACCAGCUAAGGUCCCAAAAUAUAUGUUAAGUGGAAAAGGAUGUGGCGUUGCCCAGACAACUAGGAUGUUGGCUUAGAAGCAGCCAUCAUUUAAAGAGUGCGUAAUAGCUCACUAGUCGAGUGACACUGCGCCGAAAAUGUACCGGGGCUAAACAUAUUACCGAAGCUGUGGAUUGUCCUUUGGACAAUGGUAGGAGAGCGUUCUAAGGGCGUUGAAGCAUGAUCGUAAGGACAUGUGGAGCGCUUAGAAGUGAGAAUGCCGGUGUGAGUAGCGAAAGACGGGUGAGAAUCCCGUCCACCGAUUGACUAAGGUUUCCAGAGGAAGGCUCGUCCGCUCUGGGUUAGUCGGGUCCUAAGCUGAGGCCGACAGGCGUAGGCGAUGGAUAACAGGUUGAUAUUCCUGUACCACCUAUAAUCGUUUUAAUCGAUGGGGGGACGCAGUAGGAUAGGCGAAGCGUGCGAUUGGAUUGCACGUCUAAGCAGUAAGGCUGAGUAUUAGGCAAAUCCGGUACUCGUUAAGGCUGAGCUGUGAUGGGGAGAAGACAUUGUGUCUUCGAGUCGUUGAUUUCACACUGCCGAGAAAAGCCUCUAGAUAGAAAAUAGGUGCCCGUACCGCAAACCGACACAGGUAGUCAAGAUGAGAAUUC
rnacentral:rRNA from 1 species